CCUAUUACAGAUCUAUUUACUUUAGAAAAAAUUAGAGUGUUACAAAGCAGGCGUCACUUGCCAUUGAAUAUUACAGCAUGGGAUAAUAGAAUAUGACGUUGGUCUUAUUUUGUUGGUUUCUAAGGCUGAUGUAAUGAUUAAGUAGGGAUAGGUUGGGGUCGCUCGUAUUGAGUUGUCAGAGGUGAAAUUCUAGGAUUUACUCAAGACGAACUAAUGCGAAAGCAUUCGACAAGGAUGUUUUCAUUAAUCAAGAACGAAAGUUGGGGGAUCGAAGAUGAUCAGAUACCGUCGUAGUCUCAACCAUAAACUAUGUGGACCAAGGAUCCGAGGACGUUACAUGGAUGACUCUCCGGGCACUUUGUGAGAAAUCAUAAGUAUUUGCAUUCCGGGGGGAGUAUGGUCGCAAGGCUGAAACUUAAAGGAAUUGACGGAAGGGC
rnacentral:rRNA from 1 species